rnacentral:miRNA from 14 species
CAGUCGCUACUGCACUGUCAA